UACGGAAGGUGCAAGCGUUGUUCGGAAUGACUGGGCGUAAAGCGCACGUAGGCGGUCUUGUAAGUCGGAUGUGAAAUCCCCGGGCUUAACCCGGGAACUGCAUCCGAAACUGCAAAACUUGAAUGCUUGAGAGGUUGGUGGAAUUCCAGGUGUAGGAGUGAAAUCCGUAGAUAUCUGGAGGAACAUCGGAGGCGAAGGCGGCCAACUGGCAAUGCAUUGACGCUAAGGUGCGAAAGCGUGGGGAGCAAACAGG
rnacentral:rRNA from 1 species